CAAAACUGUUUUUGCCAUUCCGCACAGCUUCAAAGAGCCCUGAAAGCAGCUUGAAAGUGCAUUAUUCUGCGUGUGCGGAAUGAGCCAUAGAUUCAGACAAUCAGUUUAAUUAAACCAUGGUUUCACAUUAUAUCUGACCCAAGCUAGGGAUUCAAAAGUGUUCCAAUGGUAAGCCAUAAUAAAAUACAAGCAUAGACCUCAUAAAGAUGUUACUUCUGCAGUGGAGGUCAUAAUGGCAUGGCCCUGUGUGAUGCUGCCUAGAAAUUAUCAUGAAGAAGCUCUAUGUGAAUAAGUACAUGUUGCCAGUGGUGGUGGGGUGGGUGAGAAGUAACUGUAUCAUCAUGCCUGAAAACAUGGUGCUACUUUAUAAAAUUUAAAAGAUCAGGAUCAGAUUGGGUCAUGGUCCAUAUAGCAAAGGGAAAUUUAAAUCUGGUGCAAGUAGAUUCCGCUCCACUUUUGGCAUACACCUUCCAGCCUGCUAUACUGGUGUUGUGAGCAGAAAUGUUAUGAAUAGCAAAUGGUAUGUAGGCUGUUUGAUGGAGGACAUACUACAAGACAAGGCACUUCUUACUAUGCUCUGCUGCUAAAAAGAUGGAUCAAACCACUUUCUUGUAUGCACUGACAAUACAGCGUAAUAUAUCAAGUUAAGCAAUGUUUGAUUGGGUUUUAUUCAUGUGUACAGUUACAGGCCCAUUCUUUUGAAAAGAAGAGGACUUCAUUUUUACCUUUUAAUCCAACAAAACUGCAGCUUGAAUUACUGUUUUCUGUUUUUCCUCAAUGACUGGUUUGGCUGCUAUAGUAGAAACAAUGCACCAGGAUAGCACCUGAAUUAAAGUAGCUUCACUGAUACAUGAAUUAUUUUCUACAGAGUAUUGUGAAGUCAUCUAUAUCUAGCAGAAAUCCUUGAAGUGCCAUCCAAGCUCUCUUUAGUUAUGAACACACAAUUCUUGCUUUAUGCAGGAUUUUGCUUCCUGGCAACUAUGACACACUGAUGUGUUGGUCUUUUAAUUUUGAGGGAUGGUGGAAGUGUGUAAGGUUUUACUUUUGUCCUCAAUAGAACAUUCAUCUUUCAUGUUAACACUACCAAAUGGGCAACAGAAUCUUUGGUAUGUUCUGUUCCUCUAAAACUCUAACAGCUAAUCACAGCUGUUUACCCAAAGGUAAUUUGUUAUGUACACACUUGGUCAGCUGCUUGUCUGAUCCCAUUCAAAUAAACAGGCUACUCCUGGAUGAGCUCUCACCUGUGGAGAACAUGAUUGUUUUUAUUGUUAUUCACCAAGAGGAUUUUACCCUACAUCAGGUACUACAGAAUGUGUGAUAGGAUACAAGACAAAGUGGUAGUCUUUGUGGAUUCUCUAGAUCCGUGAUAAUCCAGCCAAGGGAUAAGGAUAAUCUUACCACACAGUAAAGAGAAGUGGUAAAUUCUCCCCACUACUUCAAAUAUGACACAGAAAACUCUUUUCCUAUGUGGUUAUAUGUUUAAGUUAUCCGUUGGGAAUGGCCAUCUGUACUCGCCCUUUAUCAGUUAACAGGAGGCAACAGUAUAAUACAAGCCCUAGGCCAGGGAAGGCCAUUCAUGUUCUGUGGAAAGCUGUGCCUCUUUCCAUUUCUAAGCAUGCCUGUGUCCCACUUGCAGCUACAUUAAGAAGUAUAAAGAGAGUUUCAAAAUUCAAUACCUAUUUGAAUUUACUUCCUGAGUACAUUCACUCUUUAAAUUAUAAUAUUGUGUUGAAUUGUUUAUUCAAGUUAGCCAUUGUUUACUGUCCAAAGGUCAUUCUGGGUUACAGUGAGCCUCCCUGACCAUUGGAAAAAAUGGUAACUUCUAUUGAAGACAAGUACUGGAUGGAAAGCAAAGGAACACAUGGGCUGGCUGCCGGAGGCCUUCUUCCUGUGCAUGCUGUUGCUGUAACAAUCACCUGCACUGUCUUUCCAUGUGAUUUGGAGCCCUUGCUUCUUUCCUUCCACGGCUUUUGUGCUGCAAGCUUUGGACAAUUGGAGCAACAGUAGCAUACCCAGAUAGCAAGCCAAGAAAUCAGCCAACUAUUUCCAGGCCCUCAGCCUAAAGCCAAUGCUGGGUUCUUUGCCUCAUACUUUUUUCUUUCAGGGAUGUUUAUAUCUUGAAACUAUUGAGGACCUUUGUCUCUCAUGCUUUGAACAGACUUCCUUCAGCUAAGCAGGGAAAUGGCAAAUGGUGAGUCACUAUUUAAAAAUGUCACAUAUGGUGGUUCUACCAUAUGGGAAACUGGUUGUCAUCAAGUAUUAUUACAACUUUCUGUUCUGUCACACCAUUGUUGACGUAGCCCUGAAAUUUCUGUUAGGGCUUCGUAUAUCUCCCUUUUCCACUAUGUGUAGCCAGUUUGUUGACUUACCCCUUCAUUUUCCCUCAGUUUCCUCUUGGGACAAUCCAACUAUAACUCCCCCUUUCACUAUAUGUACCCCCAGUUAUCUUUUUCAGCAACAGUACUGAGGUGAAUAUGUAGACUUUACAGCCUUCCCUAGCAACAUAAAUGACUAGCUAAAGCACACUGAAUAGCUAUUGCAAAGAAAUUUGUGGGCCUUUGGUAUGGAGCAAGGCACCUAACAGUUAACCCACCCCCAUGCAUUGCAAUUUAACCACACUCCAAAUUGUCCCAUCCAAGGCUACUUAGCAAUAAAAACACAUGUCAAUUUGGUCACAGGCCUUUGAGUAUCUUGUCUACUUUGACCUUGUGUGUCUGGAAACUAUAGACCCUUUUCUUCAUCAAAGACCCAGAAAAACUCUAUGAUUCUGUAGUAAUUAUCUACCUGACCAAUUCCUGAACUGUAAUUUGGGGGAAAAUGCUGUUCAAAAGUGAACGACUGCAGUAUCUAGAAUACAGACAAUCACCCAUGCAGAGUCUAGUAGAUGUGCUGUGUCCUUAAACACUGCCCUUAUGUAAUUCCCAAUGUUUGAAAUGAAGAGACUAUAGUCACUCUUUGAGAGAGACUAUUAAUGGUGCUUUACUAAUGGGCAGCUUUUCCUGUCCACUCUUCUCUUUCACAUUUUGAUCCAAACUGCAUCCUAGAGUAUGGAUAUUCUAGUUAAUAUUUGUUUUGAAAUUUUGAGUGUGCCAUUUUUUUCCUGUAAAAAAUGUAAGAGUAAUGGCGAGGGGGAUCAUAGGUGUUACUUCUCUUGGUAUGAGAGAUACCAUAAAAAGAAAUAUGAAUUCAGCUCCUGACUGAAAUGUAUCUGCUAAAGGUGCAGAAUUCGUACAAAGAAACUGGAGGCCUUUCUUGAAGUAUGCCUUUUUAAAAAUGGUAAAAUUAGCAUAGUUUACCCCCAAACACUGAACAAACGCAGGAAAAUAAUUUUCCAUUCAGGUUGUUUUUGAGAAUUCCUUAAUUGUACAAAAUGUUUCCUGUCAUGGGGAAACAGUUAAAUUACUACAUCUUUAAAAAUGUUUGUCCAUGUGUGGGAUUGUAACACAGCAUUAUCUCAAACAUUAUUUUGGGAUGAUUCAGUCCAUACCCAGUGAUAUCGAUAGGCAUUUUGGCAAUUGAUUUUAGUAAGCAGCAGGGUACAGUAUUAUCGAUUGAUAGCAAAACUGUUUCACCCAUGUGCUUGUUUCUUCAAAAAGGAACAGGUAUCAUUUUGCAUAAUCUAUUUUUUUCAAACUAAUCUACAACCAGUUGAAUCAAAUUACACAGUCAAGGCUUGACAUAAAAUCCCUUGGAAUUUGAUAGAAAGAGUUAUAAGUCAGGCUGUUUCUCAGCUGUGAAGAGCAAACAAGAGCCUUUACCAAGUGCUGUUAACUCCCAUAAUAGCAAGCACUUUUUAUUGUUUUGAUAAGUUUUUAACUGUCAAGUUUUUAAUUUUAUGUCUCUCCUCCCUUCUUUUGCUGACCAACCUGUUUCCAGAAAUAAGAUACAGUAGCCUGGUUUGGAUUAUUUCUAUUUGUUUUUUCUCUUUGUGGUGGAACCUCUCUGAUUUGGAGCCUUGGUUAAAAAAUAACAAAUCACCAAUGAUUGUCUGAACAGUUAUCUCUGCUUCUCUGUAAAAGGGAUUGUUGGCCAACACUGCUGUUCAUCUCUACUUUCAUGAUGCAGAUGUCACCCAACCAUCUCAAUGCCACUAUAAUCUAAAUCACUGUUGUACUCAUACCAAGUAAACAAAUAAAGUUUUGAACUUUA